rnacentral:rRNA from 1 species
UGGGGAAUUUUGCACAAUGGGGGAAACCCUGAUGCAGCGACGCCGCGUGAUUUAGAAGGCCUUCGGGUUGUAAAAAUCUUUUCUAUGGGAAGAAAAUGACAGUACCAUAGGAAUAAGGACCGGCUAAUUACGUUCCAGCAGCCGCGGUAAUACGUAAGGUCCGAGCGUUGUCCGGAAUCAUUGGGCGUAAAGGGUACGUAGGCGGGUAAGCAAGUUAGAAGUGAAAUCCUAUAGCUCAACUAUAGUAAGCUUUUAAAACUGCUCAUCUUGAGGUAUGGAAGGGAAAGUGGAAUUCCUAGUGUAGCGGUGAAAUGCGCAGAUAUUAGGAGGAAUACCAGUGGCGAAGGCGACUUUCUGGCCAUAACCUGACGCUGAGGUACGAAAGCGUGGGUAGCAAACAGG